rnacentral:rRNA from 1 species
GUAGUCAUAUGCUUGUCUCAAAGAUUAAGCCAUGCAUGUCUAAGUAUAAGCAACUAUACAGUGAAACUGCGAAUGGCUCAUUAAAUCAGUUAUAGUUUAUUUGAUAGUACCUUACUACUUGGAUAACCGUGGUAAUUCUAGAGCUAAUACAUGCGAAAAACCCCGACUUCGGAAGGGGUGUAUUUAUUAGAUAAAAAACCAAUGCCCUUCGGGGCUCCCUGGUGAUUCAUAAUAACUAAACGAAUCGCAUGGCCUUGCGCCGGCGAUGGUUCAUUCAAAUUUCUGCCCUAUCAACUUUCGAUUGUAGAGUAGUGGUCUACAAUGGUUUCAACGGGUAACGGGGAAU